rnacentral:sRNA from 12 species
UGGAGCUGGUAAUAAUAAACUAGUUUGUGCUUAGAUGCUCCUGAGUGGUACACUCCGAAUUGAGUCUAAGAACAACACAGCUAGCACCACCGCUCUA